rnacentral:tRNA from 2 species
UGCCUGGUGGUGUAAUGGUAGCACAACUGACUCUGACUCAGUUUGUCAAGGUUCGAGUCCUUGCCGGGCAGCCA